UACUACCGAAGCUACGGCAUCAGUAAUGAUGGGUAGGGGAGCUUCCCAUACGGGUUGAAGCAUGACCGUAAGGACAUGUGGACAGUAUGGGAGGGAGAAUGUUGGCAUGAGUAGCGAGAUGUGGGUGGGAAUCCCACAGGCCGUAAACCCAAGGUUUCCAGGGGAAGGUUCGUCCACCCUGGGUUAGUCGGGACCUAAGCUGAGGCCGAAAGGCGUAGGUG
rnacentral:rRNA from 1 species